rnacentral:lncRNA from 1 species
CUUAAAUAACACAUGAAUGAGUCAACCACACCCUUGUGGAGUUCAGUGUGAAACAAAUGCCAUCCGAUUGCUUGUCCAUCCUCUGUACACACCCAUGAGAUUCAUGGUGCCAGCCUAGUAAUAUGUCCCUUUCAUGGGAAAGUAGAAUAUUCAUUGUCUUAGAGUUCAACUGAAGAUGACAAUCUACUGUAGCUGGUUGAAGCCGCAAGGGAUUUAUUAUGCAUCAUUAGUUGGCUUCCAAAAUUUUUGGUAGGGUUGGAGGAGCAGGCUCUAGGCUGAGCUUCCAGGAGCACCUACUGGAAUCAUACCAUGGAACUGGCCUGCCAUCAGAAGGAAGACGAGGAAGCAGGAUCUACUCUCAUGUCUGCUGGGUCCUGGAUGUCCAUUGUCCCCAUUGCGAGUCAUGAUAUCACAUGGCUGCCCCCUGACUUGCCUCUCAACACCACGAAGCGAGGAAUGGGACGCUGGGAUUUCAGUUUUCUGUGGACUGCCACAGAAAAAGAAGUACCUUCUUGGCUAUGUCUGCCAGCAGGAACAAAGAGGCAUCCAAAGCAUGUCCUUUGGGCCAUGGCAUUGUCUUUUUCCUUCUAAGUCUAGGAUGGGUGUGUCUGCUGAAGCUACAUCAUUGUGUGGAACCUGAGCUGUGGUCCAGCUUUCCAGCCUCUAGUGAGCAGUAAGGCACACUGCAAGGGGAAUGUGGCAGAGGUGAGUGGAUCCACAUGGAGUAUUUACUACAUCCACUUCAUUGGAUUCUACCUGGAUCACUGUGUUGGAGGUGGAAGGCCAUCUGUGAUUUGUGGUGCUUCUAAAACAUUCUAAGGACGUGCCCUAUUUCAGUUAAGACACACAUUUGAUUUCUAGCUAUGCAACCUUUACAACUGACCUGAUACUUCCUGAACUUCCAUCUGUAAUAAUGAGAAAGAUAAUGACGAUGUCACAUGUUAGUAGAAGAUAAAGUGAGCAAAAAUACACCGAAGCUCUGUCUCAGAGGAAAAUAUUAGCUUAUUUCUUGGGUUACUGUAGGCUUAUUUCUUCCCUUUUUUAAUCAGCCGGUCCAAAUAUUGUACAUUAAUUCCCCCUGGACUGGGCUGUAUUUGGAAUGAGUGGUCAUAUCAGCUUCUAGUGAGUUUUCACACACUCAGCAAUGAGCGGGAACAUAGAAUUUAGCCUCUCUGGUACAUACUAGGGUUAGGAUUAGGAUCAUACUUGUAACUAAAGAAAGCUUAAAAGCUAUAUUAAAAACCACAGAGCAGGGCAGUUCCAAAAUAGCCGAAUAGGAACAGCUCCAAUCUACAGCUCCCAGUGUGAACGAUGCAGAAGACAGAUGAUUUCUGCAUUUCCAACUGAGAUUGGAAGACAGUAGCGGUUCUCUCAGCACGCAGCUUGAGAUCUGAGAACGGACAGACUGCCUCUUCAAGUGGGUCCCUGACCCCUGAGUAGCCUAACUGGGAGGCACCCCCCAGUAGGGGCAGACUGACACCUCACACAGCUGGGUACCCCUCUGAGACAAAACUUCAAGAGGAACAAUCAGGCAGCAACGUUUGCAUUUCACCAAUAUUCGCUGUUCUGCAGCCUCCGCUGCUGAUACCCAGGCAAACGGUCUGGAGUGGACCUCCGGCAAACUCCAACAGACCUGCAGCUGAGGGUCCUGACUGUUAGAAGGAAAACUAACAAACAGAAAGGACAUCCACACCAAAACCCCAUCUGUACGUCACCAUCAUCAAAGACCAAAGGUAGAUAAAACCACAAAGAUGGGGAAAAAAACGAGCAGAAAAACUGAAAAUUCUAAAAAUCAGAGCGCCUCUCCUCCUCCAAAGGAACGCAGCUCCUCACCAGCAACAGAACAAAGCUGGGCCGAGAAUGGCUUUGACGAGUUGAGAGAAGAAGGCUUCAGACAAUCAAACUUCUCCGAGCUAAAGGAGGAAGUUCGAACCCAUGGUAAGGAAGUUAAAAACCUUGAAAAAAGAUUAGACGAAUGGCUAACUAGAAUAACCAAUGCAGAGAAGUCCUUAAAGGACCUCAUGGAGCUGAAAACCACGGCACGAGAACUACGUGACGAAUGCACAAGCCUCAGUAGCCAAUUCGAUCAACCGGAAGAAAGGGUAUCAGUGAUGGAAGAUCAAAUGAAUGAAAUAAAGCGAGAAGAGAAGUUUAGAGAAAAAA